ensembl:lncRNA
UAGAUGAGGCUGGGCCUAGUCAUGUCAGGGAUGGUGGUGUAGAUGAGGCUGGGCCUAGUCAUGUCAGGGAUGGUGGUGUAGAUGAGGCUGGGCCUAGUCAUGUCAGGGAUGGUGGUGUAGAUGAGGCUGGGCCUAGUCAUGUCAGGGAUGGUGGUGUAGAUGAGGCUGGGCCUAGUCAGGUUAUAUAUGGUGUUGUGGAUUAGGCUGGAUCUAGUAAUGUCAGAGAUGGUGGUGUAGAUGAGGCUGGGUCUAGUCAUGCUAUGGAUGGUGGUGUAGAUGAGGCUGGAUCUAGUAAUGUCAGAGAUGGUGGUGUAGAUGAGGCUGGGUCUAGUCAUGCUAUGGAUGGUGGUGUAGAUGAGGCUGGGUCUAGUCAGGUUAUAGAUGGUGGUGUAGAUGAGGCUGGGUCUAGUCAGGUUAUAUAUGGUGGUGUAGAUGAGGCUGGGCCUAGUCAGGUUAUAUAUGGUGGUGUAGAUGAGGCUGGGCCUAGUCAGGUUAUAUAUGGUGGUGUGGAUGAGGCUGGGUCUAGUCAUGUCAGAGAUGGUGGUGUAGAUGAGGCUGGGUCUAGUCAUGUCAGAGAUGGUGGUGUAGAUGAGGCUGGGUCUAGUCAGGUUAUAGAUGGUGGUGUAGAUGAGGCUGGGUCUAGUCAGGUUAUAGAUGGUGGUGUAGAUGAGGCUGGGUUGGGGCCCAGAGAGGAAGGGCAGGAUGGGAGAUGGAGAUGAGGAGGAAAGUGCAUCUGAGGAAGAGGAUGAUGAUUUUUCUUUCAGACUCCUCUUCAGUGGGUCCAGAGCUGACAGCCAGUCAAGCAGAGGGGUCAAAGUGCACGUUGAGAGAACUGACAAGGUUCCUGAAUGAGACCAAGGGGAAAAAGUUAAUCUUGAGGAAUUUUUUUCUGAUCCUAGAAAGUUUGUAAGAUCAGUACAACAUGCUAUGAAAAAUGAGGGGCAUGGUGUCCUCUCACCCAGGAAAUUAUUUAGGUUGAGGAAGUGGG